ACUGAACGCUGGCGGCAGGCUUAACACAUGCAAGUCGAGCGGAGAUGAGGUGCUUGCACCUUAUCUUAGCGGCGGACGGGUGAGUAAUGCUUAGGAAUCUGCCUAUUAGUGGGGGCAAAAAUCCGGAAGGAAUGCUAAUAACGCAUACGUCCCACCGGAGAAAGCAGGGGGACUUCGGACCUUGCGCCUAACAGUGAAGCUAAGUCGGAUUAGCUAGUUGGUGGGGUAAAGGCCUACCAAGGCGACGAUCUGUAGCGGGUCUGAGAGGAUGAUCCGCCACACUGGGACUGAGACACGGCCCAGACUCCUACGGGAGGCAGCAGUGGGGAAUAUUGGACAAUGGGGGGAACCCUGAUCCAGCCAUGCCGCGUGUGUGAAGAAGGCCUUAUGGUUGUAAAGCACUUUAAGCGAGGAGGAGGCUACUGAGACUAAUACUCUUGGAUAGUGGACGUUACUCGCAGAAUAAGCACCGGCUAACUCUGUGCCAGCAGCCGCAGUAACAC
rnacentral:rRNA from 1 species